rnacentral:rRNA from 1 species
GAUGAACGCUGGCGGCGUGCCUAAUACAUGCAAGUCGAGCGAACAGACGAGGAGCUUGCUCCUCUUACGUUAGCGGCGGACGGGUGAGUAACACGUGGAUAACCUACCUAUAAGACUGGGAUAACUUCGGGAAACCGGAGCUAAUACCGGAUAAUAUAUUGAACCGCAUGGUUCAAUAGUGAAAGACGGUUUUGCUGUCACUUAUAGAUGGAUCCGCGCCGCAUUAGCUAGUUGGUAAGGUAACGGCUUACCAAGGCAACGAUGCGUAGCCGACCUGAGAGGGUGAUCGGCCACACUGGAACUGAGACACGGUCCAGACUCCUAAGGGAGGCAGCAGUAGGGAAUCUUCCGCAAUGGGAGAAAGCCUGACGGAGCAACGCCGCGUGAGUGAUGAAGGUCUUCGGAUCGUAAAACUCUGUUAUUAGGGAAGAACAAAUGUGUAAGUAACUAUGCACGUCUUGACGGUACCUAAUCAGAAAGCCACGGCUAACUACGUG